rnacentral:rRNA from 1 species
UGGGGAAUAUUGCGCAAUGGGCGAAAGCCUGACGCAGCAACGCCGCGUGAGUGAAGAAGGCCUUCGGGUUGUAAAGCUCUUUUGUCAGGGAAGAAACGGUAGUAGCGAAUAACUAUUACUAAUGACGGUACCUGAAGAAUAAGCACCGGCUAACUACGUGCCAGCAGCCGCGGUAAUACGUAGGGUGCAAGCGUUAAUCGGAAUUACUGGGCGUAAAGCGUGCGCAGGCGGUUGUGUAAGUCAGAUGUGAAAUCCCCGGGCUCAACCUGGGAAUUGCAUUUGAGACUGCACGGCUAGAGUGUGUCAGAGGGGGGUAGAAUUCCACGUGUAGCAGUGAAAUGCGUAGAUAUGUGGAGGAAUACCGAUGGCGAAGGCAGCCCCCUGGGAUAACACUGACGCUCAUGCACGAAAGCGUGGGGAGCAAACAGGAUUAGAUACCCCCGUAGUCCCUGAGCGGGCUGGCAAGGCG